AGCAGGACUACUGGCGACGCGGUCACGGAAAAUAACAGGUAACGUUAAGCAUUUCGAGCUUCUUUAUUCCUAUUAAAAGCACUUUUGAACGUUUGUGUUUUACUGUCAACUUUAACUGAAGAUUAACCAGCUUAGUUAUCAUAAUGUGUGUAACUUUAGCUAAGGGUAGCAAGGAGCUAACGCACCAUUACAUCAACGUUAUCAACGGCAAGUGUUAAAUAUGCAGUGUUAUACACAACAGUUCGUAAGUGGUAAAUUAAUAAAUAUUUUUGGUGUUUAUCACAGCCAGACACAGACAAACGAGUCCCGCAAAGUGUAUUUUUAAGCUUAUGUUAGAGAGACGGCUGACAGAGCAUCUUCGUCAUCUCUAACCGUCACUCCCGCCACAGAUCUGAAGCGAGUGCAAAGGCAUAGAGGGGCGGUGUGAUGGUAUUGGCAGCAAGAAGGCUGCAAUACUAAUAUGGGCCUGAAAUGAAGAACAAUAUCAGUCAUUCAAGCUAUGAUCCUGGCAGAUCUACUAUCUGAAAAAAGAUUUUUUUCAAGACACACAAGAUGGAGUGUGGAGAGACCGGACAGUUCCCACAGUGCUAGUUUUUCAGCACCCACACCCCACACACAAAUUCAUAUAGAAGUUUUCAAUAAUAAAAAGUUUAUAUGAUAGUUUAUAUUUAGCUAUGAAGUUAUAGUUCAUUGUCAUAAAUAUUAAACUAAAUAUUAAAGUCCCCCCUGUAGUGAAAAUCAAGUUUUUAUGCUGUUUAUUUGUCUUUGUGGUUUUAAAUAUUGCUACAUUACAAUCCAAUAACCAAUCACAUUAAAGAAUCAAUUCCUAUCAUUAGAAUGCAAAAUAUACCAAUACCAGCACAAAACUAAAAAUACAUUAUAGCAAAAAAAACAUUAAGCUGUGGUUUAAUGUGAAUUUAGAUACAAUAUUUGACUACGGGAAACUUAAUUUUUUUUUACAUGAUAUGCAAUUUUCACCAGUCUGUUCAAUGUAUUAAUGAGAUUUUUGAAAGUGAUUAUCUUUAAUAAUUCAGAUACCUGUUGAA